AAAGACCAUAAUGAAACAUUCAAUAUCUCCCAAAAUCGAACCAAACUACUUCACCCAUUCCAAAACGCAGAGAAACAAAAAUCCUCUCAUACUAUUCGACUGCACAUUAGGUAGAGGAUAUGCCACCACACCGAUAGCAUUUCCAUCGUAGGUUUCGCCGCCUCACGCUUUACCAUCUCCGACCAAUGUUCGAUCGAAGGUUUAGCCACCACUCUGACGGCACCUCCGUGAAAGGGUUCGCCGUCACACGCUUGACGAUCUCCGACCACUAGCAAAAUCUGUACACAAUUCAAAAUAUCUCGUGAAGUUGGACUUCAUUUGAUUUGUAGGUAAGACAAGGGAACUCGGAACCCAUUUCAUUUAUUAUGUCCAUUUGACAAUUCGUAUGCUACAUACGACUGUUGAAGUGCAAUAUAUAGACCCAAAAAAAUAGAGAUUGCUAGCUGCUGUUAAAAUUUUUGGUCUAGCCCAUCUCUGUAACUUUGCAAAAUGAUUUUACUUGUAAUGGUUUGUAUGUGUGAAGAUCUGGUUUCAAACAGAUUUCAAAUUUUCAUCAUACUUUCUCGUUUCAGAUUGUUUCUUACAACAUCAAUUUGAAUUACAAGUUUUGUUUCAAACAUCUUCUAGUUCUACCAUGACGCUACUUGUCCAGUUAACUUGAGUGAAUAGAUGAAUUUUUGUUAUAUUAUCAAUUAGUACUUUCGUUUGUGUGUUAUUGACUAUCGAUUUGGUAUCUAAAUUUGUGUAGUGAUUUGCAUCUAUUUGUGUUGACCUUGCUUUGUCGUUUCACAUUGUAGAAUGGGCGGUGGAAAUGAUGGAAUCUGUCAUAGCUGUAGAUCGAAUGGGCAUUUCUUUGCCAACAGCCAAUCGCAACGCCUUUGCUCAAAUUGCGAAUAUAGGUUUGAGAAGUGUUUCGUGGUGGAGAAGGAGGCUGAAAAUAAAGGGCGAUUAUUUAUUUGUUGCAGUAAAAACUGUAGAUUUUGGGAUUGGAUUGUCAUAGAAAAAUUAAGCGGCCAAUCCUCUAAAGAUAGAACUUCUUCAGAUAACCUUGUGAUGAACGAAAUAUUUGAACAAAUAUCAUAGAAUCUCGAAUCUUAAGUUUGCAUCGGCUGAAGGAGAUCUACAUAUUACGGUAAACGUGAAGGUCUGUAAGACAAAGAGAUCACGGAAGUGAAUUCAGAAUGGAAGUGGCCGACCUGAUUAGUACAUAUUAAUCGAAGUACUAGUUAGUCUUUUGUAUGUGGUUGGAAUAUUAUUAGCGAAGAUAUGUGAACAAUGUUAAUCUAUGACGUGAUGGAUGUUUAACUCUUAUUUUAGUCAACCACUCUUAUUUAUUUCUGUUGCUAAGAUUUAUGUACAUGCAUACUCACAUUUUCAUAUAUUGAUUAUCUCAAAGUAUCUGUUUCUCUUCCACAAAAAAAGAUGUAUAGAAACAAUGUGAGUUUAAUAAUAGGUUAUGAUGCCCCAAUUUGCCUGGCUAUCGAUUACACAUAAGGGGACACAUCUUAUUGGUAAUGUGUGUGUCCCAAUUAUAUUAAAUGCUUAAGUAUUCACCUUACACUUUUCC
rnacentral:lncRNA from 1 species